AGAUGGACAGUUUGCUGAAUCAGUUAUCGGCUGAUCAUUUAUGAUGUUUAUUGACUUAAAUGUAAUUAAAUCAUUAGUUGUUGCUGUUCAUCUGGAUGUCACUCAAGAUUGAAGUAAUUUGGACUUUGUUACAUUACUCUUAGGAGCUCUGAAGAUGGACAGUUUGCUGAAUCAGUUAUCGGCUGAUCAUUUACAAUGUUUAUUGACUUAAAUGUAAUUAAAUCAUUAGUUGUUGCUGUUCGUCUGGAUGUCACUCAUGAUUGAAGUAAUUUGGACUUUGUUACAUUACUCUUAGGGGAUCUGAAGAUGGACAGUUUGCUGAAUCAGUUAUCGGCUGAUCAUUUACAAUGUUUAUUGACUUAAAUGUAAUUAAAUCAUUAGUUGUUGCUGUUCGUCUGGAUGUCACUCAUGAUUGAAGUAAUUUGGACUUUGUUACAUUACUCUUAGGAGAUCUGAGGAUGGAUAGUUUGCUGAAUCAGUUAUCGGCUGAUUAUUUACAAUGUUUAUUGACUUAAAUGUAAUUAAAUCAUUAGUUGUUGCUGUUCAUCUGGAUGUCACUCAAGAUUGAAGUAAUUUGGACUUUGUUACAUUACUCUUAGGGGAUCUGAAGAUGGACAGUUUGCUGAAUCAGUUAUCGGCUGAUCAUUUAUGAUGUUUUUUGACUUAAAUGUAAUUAAAUCAUUAGUUGUUGCUGUUCAUCUGGAUGUCACUCAAGAUUGAAGUAAUUUGGACUUUGUUACAUUACUCUUAGGAGCUCUGAAGAUGGACAGUUUGCUGAAUCAGUUAUCGGCUGAUCAUUUAUAAUGUUUAUUGACGUAAAUGUUGCUGUUCAUCUGGAUGUCACUCAAGAUUGAAGUAAUUUGGACUUUGGUACAUUACUCUUAGGAGCUCUGAAGAUGGACAGUUUGCUGAAUCAGUUAUCGGCUGAUCAUUUAUGAUGUUUAUUGACGUAAAUGUUGCUGUUCAUCUGGAUGUCACUCAAGAUUGAAGUAAUUUGGACUUUGUUACAUUACUCUUAGGAGCUCUGAAGAUGGACAGUUUGCUGAAUCAGUUAUCGGCUGAUCAUUUAUAAUGUUUAUUGACUUAAAUGUUGCUGUUCAUCUGGAUGUCACUCAAGAUUGAAGUAAUUUGGACUUUGGUACAUUACUCUUAGGAGCUCUGAAGAUGGACAGUUUGCUGAAUCAGUUAUCGGCUGAUCAUUUAUAAUGUUUAUUGACUUAAAUGUUGCUGUUCAUCUGGAUGUCACUCAAGAUUGAAGUAAUUUGGACUUUGGUACAUUACUCUUAGGAGCUCUGAAGAUGGACAGUUUGCUGAAUCAGUUAUCGGCUGAUCAUUUAUAAUGUUUAUUGACUUAAAUGUUGCUGUUCAUCUGGAUGUCACUCAAGAUUGAAGUAAUUUGGACUUUGGUACAUUACUCUUAGGAGCUCUGAAGAUGGACAGUUUGCUGAAUCAGUUAUCGGCUGAUCAUUUAUAAUGUUUAUUGACUUAAAUGUUGCUGUUCAUCUGGAUGUCACUCAAGAUUGAAGUAAUUUGGACUUUGUUACAUUACUCUUAGGAGCUCUGAAGAUGGACAGUUUGCUGAAUCAGUUAUCGGCUGAUCAUUUAUAAUGUUUAUUGACUUAAAUGUAAUUAA